AUUCUUCAAAAGUUUCACUGACGUGAACCUCACUUGUGGGUGCCAGGUUAUGACCACAUGCAUAGUUUCAUCUUCAUCUUAUGCAACAUUUGGGGUAAAAGGAAGGUUAUGUGGUAACCAGUUUAUGACUUGAACUAUAGGCAAAGAUUGACCAGGCCAAGCCCUGAGACACAGUGUUGAGAGCCAAGACAUAAAGUCGUGAAGAUUCAGGCCCAGAGCCCAGCAGGGCACAGGCUGGAGGGGUGAUGUGAUGUGAGUGAUCAGUAACACCAUGAAGACUCUGCUUCUGGGUCAGAAAUGCUUUUUUGUCCCUGUUUUGGAUUUUCCACCAUGAGCAGCCAAUGCAGAAAGAAAUCUAAAUGUGAAGGAAAGGCAGCAUUCAGCACUGAGCAAGUCCAUGUUGGAGAAAGUUCGCAGGGAAUUGGAAAUCCUUGUCCUCGUGGUUCCUGGCUCAGCAGGACCCCUGUGGGGCCUCUCCCUCUCCUGGGAAAGAGACUGCUCUAGAAGGUUUACUACACCAGUGAGGAGAAGAUGAGCGUAUGGGGGAUUGGCUGGCUGAGGGCGAAAUCAAGGCUGGAGCCAAGUGCGCUGAGCUCUCACGUGAGGUCCUUUGCUCCUGUUCCCUGGAGGCAUAAGUGGCUGGGGUAGAGAGA
rnacentral:lncRNA from 1 species